rnacentral:rRNA from 1 species
UGAGUUUGAUCCUGGCUCAGGAUAAACGCUGGCGGCGUGCCUUACGCAUGCAAGUCGAACGAAGCCCGGCCUUCGGGUCGGUGACUGAGUGGCAAACGGCUGAGUAACGCGUAGGUGAUCUGUCCCGAGGAGGGGAACAACUCGUGGAAACGCGAGCUAAUGCCCCAUACGCCCACCGGUUCAGCCCGGUGGGGAACUGUUCCGGCGCCUUGGGAGGAGCCUGCGUCCGAUUAGCUAGUUGGUGGGGUAACGGCCUACCAAGGCAGCGAUCGGUAGCUGGUCUGAGAGGAUGAUCAGCCAGACUGGGACUGAGACACGGCCCAGACUCCUACGGGAGGCAGCAGCGAGGAAUCUUGCACAAUGGGCGAAAGCCUGAUGCAGCAACGCCGCGUGGGUGAUGAAGGCCUUAGG